rnacentral:snRNA from 1 species
UCACUUACCUGGACGGGGUCAAUGGGCGAUCAAGAAGGUCCAUGGCCUAGGUUGGUGACCUCCAUUGCACUUUGGAGAGGUGCCCGCCUAAGGUCGGCCCAAGUGGUCGAGCCUACGUCAUAAUUUGUGGCAGUGGGGGCUUGCGUUCGCGCAGCCCCUGC